rnacentral:rRNA from 1 species
ACGACUCUCGGCAACGGAAUAUCUCGGCUCUCGCAUCGAUGAAGAACGUAGCAAGAUGCGAUACUUGGUGUGAAUUGCAGAAUCCCGUGAACCAUCGAGUCUUUGAACGCAAGUUGCGCCCGAAGCCUUUCGGCGGAGGGCACGUCUGCCUGGGUGUCGAA